CAGGUCGCGGGAUGGUUCCUGUGCGGACCGUUCGGACUGGUCCAGGAAGCCGAACGGGCCCUGCGCGGCCUCGGGGUGCCCCGG
rnacentral:tRNA from 1 species